UGAGGAAUAUUGCACAAUGGGCGCAAGCCUGAUGCAGCAACGCCGCGUGCGGGACGAAGGCCUUCGGGUCGUAAACCGCUUUUCUGGGGAAAGAGCAAGGACGGUACCUCAGGAAUAAGUCUCGGCUAACUACGUGCCAGCAGCCGCGGUAAAACGUAGGAGGCGAGCGUUAUCCGGAUUUACUGGGCGUAAAGCGCACGCAGGCGGCUCUGUGAGUCGGACGUGAAAGCUCCCGGCUUAACCGGGAGAGGCCGUUCGAUACUGCGGGGUUGGAGGUAGCGAGUGGGGUGCGAGAUCCGGGGUGGAGUGGUGGAGUGCGUAGGUAACGGGCGGAGCG
rnacentral:rRNA from 1 species